CUCUCAACACCUUUUUUGUUUCCUUUUUUCUUCAUCCCUAUUGGUUGUAACUCAAAUCCAUCUCUUUCUUCUCUCUCUACAUUCGAAGAGAGAGAAAAAGCAAUUUUCUUUUCUUUUGCAUCUUAACACACAAAAAAUAAAGUAGCAAAUUCCAAAUGGGUAGUGGCACUGCCACUGCAUCCACAACAACAACAACAUUCAACACUCACAAAAGAAAGGAUCUAAUUCCAUCUGGGUUUUCUUUCUCUUCAAGGAAUUUGAAUGGUUUUGGUAUUGGAUUGAUGCUAAAAUUCAGUGAAUUGGUGUAAGACUUUGUUGAUGGAAAAAUGUUUGUUUCUUCUUCAGUGGUGAAGUAAAGUCACAGUUUUGGUGCUGAUUUAGUGGAAGAUUAUUAUUUUAAAUAAAUAAAUAAUAGUGAAAAGUGAUGGCUGCAGAAUCAAACAGUGGUUUUCACUAUGGUGAUAAUAUGAAUUCUACUUUGAAUUGGCAUGCAAUUUCAUUUCAAUCUGGUGGUUCUAUUACUAGCUUACCUGAGAUGGUUCCAAUGAGUAAUUAUUUUGGGUUGAAUAAUGAUACUUCUGGGAUGAUGUAUUCUGGUAAUUCAAGCAUUAUUAACGGCAAUUCAAAUUCUACUGUUAUGAGUCAACUUGGCAGUGCUUCCGGAUCUUCUCUUGUUGAUUCUGUCGCGGGAUUGAAGCAUGAUGCCGGUCUGGCUGCUGAAUGGUCUGUUGAUGAACAGUACAAAUUGGAAGAAGGACUUGUCAAGGCUAGAUAUGCUGAUGAGCCGAGUAUCAUGAGGUAUGUCAAAAUCGCUGCUUCGUUGCGUGAUAAAACUGUUCGUGAUGUUGCUUUGAGGUGUAGGUGGAUGACUAGAAAGCGAAGGAAACCAGAUGACCACAUCGUAAAGAAGGUCAACAAUAGGAAGGAUAAGCCAGUGGAGUCGUCACCAAAGAAGUAUUUGCAGCCAGUUGUAACCCCAACUGUCGCUACAUAUUCUUGCAUAUCGCAACAUAUGGACAGAAAUCAACGGAUAGUGUAUGAUGAUGGAAUUUGUGGUCAAGUGAAGCAACUCUUGGAGCGAAAUGCUCAAGCUUUUAGUCAAAUAAAUUCCAAUUUAUCUUCUUUCAAGUUGCAGGAUAACAUCGACCUCCUCAGUCAGACAAGGCAUAACAUUAGUACCAUUCUUGAUGAUUUGUGCAGCAUGAGAGAAAUGCCUGGUAUAAUGAGCCAAAUGCCUCCACUUCCUGUGUCAAUCGACGAGGACCUGGCAAGUAGUUUGUUACCUAAUAAAUCUUAGGUAAGAUGUUGGUUAAGUUAACUAAACUUUUUUCAUGUAUCUCAAUGUUCCUUUGUUGAGGUAAUACAAUCCUGCUUUUGUAUUUUUUGUGUGUGCAAUAUAUGCUUUUCUAGUUAAUUGAAAUUCAUUGUCCACAUAAAUAUCAAUAGGUCAAAACUCAUUAACCACUAAUGGAACUUCAUCGACCAUGAAUUUUGACGCGAUUAAUCAUAAUUUUCAGGUGUUUAAUUGUACAAGUAGUUGGACACCUGAAAAUAAUGGUUAACCAAGUCCAAAUUCGUGGUUAAUGAAGUUAUAUUGGUGCUUAAUGUGUUUCAACACUUGGUAUAUCCAAAGUAACUAACUAUCUAUUAAACGUAAUUAGCCAUCUAUUUGAACUGUGUUAGUCACUUAAAAAGUUAUCACGAAAGGUGUCUAAAUUUGGUCGCACAAAAAUCAUUUCUCAUACACACUAAAAAUAAUUAGGGCUUUUAUAAUGGGAAAGCUCUCUUGUAAUCCUUAAUUUCAUGGAAGAUGACUUAAACAUCCACUUUACAUUUUCCAAUCUUAUUCUCAUAAAGUUUUGGUACUUAAAAAACUAUAUUUCAGUCCUAUUUGUGAAUUGAAGUUUAUAAUAUCAGAUAUUGAAAGUUGAUUAUUUUUAUGUAUUACAAAUUCAAGCUAGGAAAUUUCUGCCUCCAUCAAGAUUGCCUACUCAAAGUGGUCCACUAUAGAGAGAAUGGCCUUUUUUGUGGAAGUCAAUUGUUUUUUUGUGCUACAUGCCAUUGAGGAGCCACUUCAUAACCAAUAUCACACUAUCUCAUGAUUUUUCAGAGGUUCUAAUUCAUCUUUGAUCUUACAACUCUAGUUUGUUUAUUUUGCUUGAAGGAUUAUUUGCACUUUUGUUGUAUAAAUAUUUUAUAAAAAUGAAAAAAAAAAAAAAAAGAUAGGAAAGGAACUAGUAUAACAAUGGUUUGAGCUUAUUUACUCCUCUCUUCAUUGGUUUUGGAUUUAUUGGUAAUUAUAUCAUGGCUUAGGAACUUUUGUAAUUUUAGUUUGCCAUGUAUACUAGCUGUUUUGUAACAUGUAAAGGGAGAUUAUUAUUUCAUGGUUGUACAUGAGGAUAAUAAGUUAGUGUCAUUUACAUUUUGUGGAAACUAAUGGUUUUUGCCUUAAGGGAUCAACCAUUUAUUUGAUACCCAAUUUGUAUUUUAUUUAUGAUUAUGAUUGAUAUGUUUAUGUA